AGACCAUAUAUCACUCUCGUGCUUAAAACACUCACAAUCAAUAAGCAGCAGAGGACAGCUCUUGGGAAUUUCAUAAUAGAAAUUAGUGAAUGUUUGGAAAGAUGAAGAGUAAAUGAUCAGCGAGGAACAAUUCAGGAUUGAACAACAGAAAUAUAUGGCUAUCAUUUUGUCUUCAUCAAAUAUUGGACUGUAUGAGUCAUAGUUAUAUUGCUAAUUUUGUCACACCACAGACAAAUAAAA